GUUCAAAUGGUUCCUGUUUUUUUCUAGGACGGCCAUUAUUCAAGGCCUUCAAUAGAGCUUCUUCUUUGGUAAAAUUAUUUACACAAAUGCUGAUUCAACACAGUGCAGUUCAAGGUGGACAGGGCAUGGUGACGAAUUGGAAUGCUUAUGGACUAUGCUCACGGAGGAUUGCAAUUGCUGCAGGUUGCUUAUUUGGCAUUCAGUGCAAAUAUCUCCUUCUGUCGACAUGCCGCCUGAGACUCUAGUUCCUCAAUUUGCAGUUUUGCAGCGAACAGCUCUUCAACCUUUCAUUCCAUCAUUCAAUAUUCCUUCAAACUGAAUAUUCAAUACACCCAAUCCAAUAGGUACUAAUGGACGCAGGACUAAUCCAUGGCCAUUUCCUUAAAGUGAGGCUUGUAAUGCAAUUGUGCAUCCCCUGAACACCGGAAAUGCAGAAAAGUAUGAUGAGCACCCACAUAAACCAUGCUGUCAUGAAGAAGAACAGCAGAACAAGAAAGGGCUAUGAUUGUUUUUACAAUUGCAGGAUUCACAACUUCCCAACUUUGCCCAUUUCAUUAUCAAACGUUUGUUGCACAUUAGUAAUAGGAAUACUGCAAUUUUCAACACAAUGGCUUAUCUCCUCCUGCCUUCUGCUUCUAUCAAAGCACACAUAUGCACAUUUAAAAUAGGCUUUCUGAAGAGUGUAGUUGACAUGGUCUUGAACAGGGGCAAGCUGAGUUUGAGCAGCUACAUUCACUUCCUCAAGUUUUUGCCUAAG